rnacentral:rRNA from 1 species
AUUGAACGCUGGCGGCAUGCCUUACACAUGCAAGUCGAACGGCAGCACGGGAGCAAUCCUGGUGGCGAGUGGCGAACGGGUGAGUAAUAUAUCGGAACGUGCCCAGUCGUGGGGGAUAACGCAGCGAAAGCUGUGCUAAUACCGCAUACGAUCUACGGAUGAAAGCGGGGGAUCGCAAGAGCUCGCGCGAUUGGAGCGGCCGAUAUCAGAUUAGAUAGUUGGUGAGGUAAAGGCUCACCAAGGCGACGAUGUGUAGCUGGUCUGAGAGGACGACCAGCCACACUGGAACUGAGACACGGUCCAGACUCCUACGGGAGGCAGCAGUGGGGAAUUUUGGACAAUGGGCGCAAGCCUGAUCCAGCAAUGCCGCGUGCAGGAUGAAGGCCUUCGGGUUGUAAACUGCUUUUGUACGGAACGAAACGGCGAGCUCUAAUACAGUUUGCUAAUGACGGUACCGUAAGAAUAAGCACCGGCUAACUACGUGCCAGCAGCCGCCGUAACAC